CAGCAGCCGCGGGAAUACGGAGGGUGCAAGCGUUACUCGGAAUUACUGGGCGUAAAGCGUGCGUAGGUGGUUGUUUAAGUCUGCUGUGAAAGCCCUGGGCUCAACCUGGGAAUUGCAGUGGAUACUGGGCGACUAGAGUAAGGUAGAGGAUAGUGGAAUUUCCGGUGUAGCAGUGAAAUGCGUAGAGAUCGGAAGGAACAUCUGUGGCGAAGGCGACUAUCUGGGCCAACACUGACACUGAGGCACGAAAGCGUGGGGAGCAAACAGGAUUAGAUACCCCGGUAGUCCCUGUCUCUUAUAC
rnacentral:rRNA from 1 species